AGCGAACGCUGGCGGCAGGCCUAACACAUGCAAGUCGAACGAAGCCUUCGGGCUUAGUGGCGGACGGGUGAGUAACACGUGGGAACGUACCUUUUGGUUCGGAACAACUCAGGGAAACUUGAGCUAAUACCGGAUGAGCCCUUAGGGGGAAAGAUUUAUCGCCGAAAGAGCGGCCCGCGUUGGAUUAGGUAGUUGGUGUGGUAAAGGCGCACCAAGCCUACGAUCCAUAGCUGGUCUGAGAGGAUGAUCAGCCACACUGGGACUGAGACACGGCCCAGACUCCUACGGGAGGCAGCAGUGGGGAAUCUUGCGCAAUGGGCGAAAGCCUGACGCAGCCAUGCCGCGUGAAUGAUAAAGGUCUUAGGAUUGUAAAAUUCUUUUACCAGGGACGAUAAUGACGGUACCUGGAGAAAAAGCCCCGGCUAACUUCGUGCCAGCCGCCGCCGUAAAAC
rnacentral:rRNA from 1 species